rnacentral:rRNA from 1 species
CGGAAAGCCUGACGCAGCGACGCCGCGUGAGGGAGGAAGGCCUUCGGGUUGUAAACCUCUUUCAGGAGGGACGAAGCUACUCGGGUUAAUAGCCCAGAGGGUGACGGUACCUCCAGAAGAAGCCCCGGCUAACUACGUGCCAGCAGCCGCGGUAAUACGUAGGGGGCAAGCGUUGUCCGGAUUUACUGGGCGUAAAGAGCGUGUAGGCGGCCACGCAGGUCCGUUGUGAAAACUGGAGGCUUAACCUCCAGACGUCGACGGAAACCGUGUGGCUAGAGUCCGGAAGAGGAGAGUGGAAUUCCUGGUGUAGCGGUGAAAUGCGCAGAUAUCAGGAAGAACACCAAUGGCGAAGGCAGCUCUCUGGGACGGUACUGACGCUGAGACGCGAAAGCGUGGGGAGCGAACAGGAUUAGAUACCCUGGUAGUCCACGCCGUAAACGAUGGGUGCUAGGUGUGGGAGGUGUCGACUCCUUCCGUGCCGUAGCUAACGCAUUAAGCACCCCGCCUGGGGAGUACGGCCGCAAGGCUA